AAACUAACAAGGAUUCCCCUAGUAACGGCGAGUGAAGCGGGAAGAGCUCAAAUUUGAAAUCUAGUAGCCUUCGGCUGCUCGAGUUGUAAUCUAGAGAAGUGUUUUCCGUGCCGGCCCAUGUACAAGUCCCUUGGAACAGGGCGUCAUAGAGGGUGAGAAUCCCGUCCUUGACAUGGACCCCCGGUGCUCUGUGAUACACUUUCAACGAGUCGAGUUGUUUGGGAAUGCAGCUCAAAAUGGGUGGUGAAUUCCAUCUAAAGCUAAAUAUUGGCGAGAGACCGAUAGCGAACAAGUACCGUGAGGGAAAGAUGAAAAGCACUUUGGAAAGAGAGUUAAACAGUACGUGAAAUUGUUGAAAGGGAAACGAUUGAAGUCAGUCAUGCUCUUUGGUAUUUAUAUCAUUGAGUGGGGUCAACAUCAGUUUUGAUCGAUGGAUAAAGGCACUAGGAAGGUAGCACUCUCGGGUGAACUUAUAGCCUGGCGUCAUAUACAUUGAUUGGGACUGAGGAACGCAGCAUGCCUUUAUGGCCGGGAUUCGUCCACGUACAUGCUUAGGAUGUUGACAUAAUGGCUUUAAACGACCCGUCU
rnacentral:rRNA from 1 species